GCCUUUUCUGCUGUGGAUAUUUGGGCCGGUGCUAGUUUUCUUGUGCUCUGUUACAAUGAUCCCAGUGCUUUACAAUUUGGACUUCGUGUUUACCAAAGCAAAGGAAAAGAGCCGCGUUAAUGGGGAUGUGGAUAGGGAUUUUGUCUGAAUGUAUUCAGUAAGUAUAUCAUAUCAGAUAUCAUAUUGGUUGGAUUUUGUAAUUAACUUAAAUAGUUAAUAAAU
rnacentral:misc_RNA from 1 species